UGGACUUGUUCCGUACAGGAAGAGGAAACAGAGUGGAGCUGGGACUGGAGGAACUGUUUAGAGUUGGAUGAGGCUUUUCCGGACAGCUUUUCCAGGGAAAGUUAAUUUGGAGCCACUCAGGGACAGAGAGUGCCGGAGAGAAGGUCCAGGGCAUUGCAGAAGGCACAAAGGCAUUUGUGAAGAUGCAGAAGCAGAACCUGUACAGGAGAGGAUACAACAUCCAAGGCGCCGUUUUGGAAGAAAAUGGUCUCACCAGACACUGAACCUGCUGGCACCUUGGACUUGGACUUCCAGCUCCAGAACUGCCAUGGACUUUGCUUGAGUCUGGGAAUUUGAUGACGAGCAAGACAACCAAUGCCUUUGUCCUCAGGGAGUUUUCAAAUCCAGCAGUCGAGACAGACAGACACUGAAGGGCCUCCAUCUGUCCCUGCUGGGGAAAACAGCCUAACAGGACAAUGGCUGGCAAAGGCAUGAUGUGGCUUUCAGGGCCCUAUUAGGGCCCUACCCCCAUUGCAGAGUAUAUAAGGGCACUUCAAGAAGUUCACGGAACAACGGAAUUAAAAGGUAAGGUUAUUUUGGUUCCAAAAAGGUUGAAAUGCUUGCA